GAUGAACGCUGGCGGCGUGCCUAAUACAUGCAAGUCGAGCGAACAGACGAGGAGCUUGCUCCUCUGACGUUAGCGGCGGACGGGUGAGUAACACGUGGAUAACCUACCUAUAAGACUGGGAUAACUUCGGGAAACCGGAGCUAAUACCGGAUAAUAUAUUGAACCGCAUGGUUCAAUAGUGAAAGACGGUUUUGCUGUCACUUAUAGAUGGAUCCGCGCCGCAUUAGCUAGUUGGUAAGGUAACGGCUUACCAAGGCGACGAUGCGUAGCCGACCUGAGAGGGUGAUCGGCCACACUGGAACUGAGACACGGUCCAGACUCCUACGGGAGGCAGCAGUAGGGAAUCUUCCGCAAUGGGCGAAAGCCUGACGGAGCAACGCCGCGUGAGUGAUGAAGGUCUUCGGAUCGUAAAACUCUGUUAUUAGGGAAGAACAAAUGUGUAAGUAACUAUGCACGUCUUGACGGUACCUAAUCAGAAAUCCACGGCUAACUACGUG
rnacentral:rRNA from 1 species